AUAGAAGCAGGGAGAGAGAGGGGGAAAUCGGGAAAGUGGAUAACAUUUGAAAUAUAAAUACAUAAAAUAUCGAAUACCCCCCCCCAAAAAAAACCCAAUAUCACUGGUGAGAGGUUUACCAGGAUAUACCCUAUCGAAAGUCAAGGAGAAUCUGUAAGGUCAUUUGUUUAAUCUCUCAACCUAUACACCCUCAUCCACUGCUUUCAUUUGACCAAUAUUCACUGCAUAGCCAUCAGGUGCCCAUUUAGGGAUAUAGUACAGGUCACACAGAAAGCACUUGUGAACUCAGAAGCAGUCACAGACAAGAUGAUAUAAAUAAAAUAGGGCUAACACCAGUGAGGUCCAGAGAAAAAUACACAGGGGCAAGGUAGGGAAGGCUGUCUGCAGAAGCUGGUACACACACACACACACACACACACACACAUGCACAUAGACACACACACACGUACACACACACAAGCACACAUACACAUACACACACAUAGACACACACACAGACACACACACAAGCACACAUACACAUACACAUACAUAGACACACACACAGACACACACACAAGCACACACACAAACAUACAAACACACACACAAAAAUACACAAACACAAACACACACAAACACACAAGCACACACACAGAAGCACACACACAGACACACACAAGCACACACACAAACACACACACAAAUACAUACACAAACACACAAAUACAUACACACACAAACACACACACAAAUACAUACACACACAAACACACACAAACACACACACACAUACACACACACACACACACACACACGCGCACACACAGGCCAGUUAAUUUUAAAAUGCCUUGGCUACCUCAAAGGCUGGGCACUCCUCACCGUCCCCUGCCACCUGAGGCCCAAUUGGGGAAGUGGCCAGUCAGUGUCAGUACAUACAGAUUCUCGAUUAAAUCAAACCAUUCACAUACACAUAACACAUAUACAUAUAUACACGCAUGCAUAUAAAACAUACGCUAGUCAUACAUGUUUAUGAGGAGGUUGGGAUGGAUGAGGGUUUAGCAGAGAUAGGGGGAGGUCUAUUGCUCUUUUAAAGGAAGUGAUUAAGUGAUCUCACAGCCUUGGUGAGAAAGGAUCACCGGAGAAAAACCACUGAAGACUCAUGGGAGGGGAGGGAUUGCAACGAUGCCAAGUAAUGCCACACCCAUCAUAAUCUCAAAUAGCCCGGAAGUCAGUGAGGCUGCAGCAGACAGAUUGUAGGACCUGCACAAUGUUCUAUGUGCUGGUCAGGAACAGGAAGGCAGCCCAGAUGGGGAAAGUUUUCAGCAGAGAGGUGCCUCUCGUUGGGGGCUGUUUCUGCACCCCAUGGAGAAGCUUGUUGGCUAGUGUCAUUGUGACUGGUUUUCAUUCAUUUGUUGUUUUGUUUUCUUGGUGCUGAGGACAGAACCCAGGUCCUUGCAUGUGGUAAGUAUGUGCUCUUCCACUGAGCUACAACCCUAGACCUGAAAGUUUAUAUAUUUAAGUAUACAUUUUGGAGACUGAGAGGUGGCUCAGCAGUUAGGAGCACUGACUGCUCUUCCAGAGGUCCUGAGUUCAAAUCCCAGCAGCCUCCUGGUGGUUCACAACCAUCUGUGAUGGGAUCAGAUCCUCCGCAUAUAAAAUAAAUAAGUCAUUUUAAAAAAGGAAAAAAGUUGUCCUCUGACCUUAGCACACAUGUUGUAAGGUGUGUGCGCCCACUCUCGUAGGCAAAUAAAUAAGUUGUGGAAUUCUUUUUUCAUUUCUGCAGGUUAUUUUGUGCAUGUCUCUGCAUGUGUUUGUGCGGGUAUGUGCACAGGUGGAUUCUGGUGAGUAUGCUUGUGCGUGUGGAGGCUAGACGUACACAAAGGGUAUCCUAAUCGGUCACUUUCUACCUUGCUUUUUGGAGACAGUCUCUUGUUGAACCUGGGGCUCACUGGUUCCGAUAGGUUGGCCGGCAUUGAACUCUGGAGAGCCGUCUGUCUCCAGCCCCCGGGUGUGGAGUUACAGAUGUGUGCUACUGUUCCUGGCUCUUGCACAGCUCAGGACCUCAGGAGUAUGACCAUGGAGGCUGUCGUAAGGAGAGCGGGCCUGACUGCAGGAGCAGACAUGAGAUACAUAAAAAAAAUGUGGUCAUUCUUGGCUUCUCUCUUUCUCUCAUACCCUACGUUUAAAGACAUGCUAGCUGUAGCAUCGUCAGGAACCGUGGGAGCUAUUAUGGCUGCUUUGCACUUAGACAAUGGAGGCAUCGAGAAUCACCUCAGAGUUUUGAUGAGUGAUUGAGAGAAUAUGGCUGCCUUUUCCUUUAUUGUCUCAUUGAAUCGCGCUUGGUAUUUUAAACGACUUCAGAAAAUUCCUUGUUAGAAGUCAGACGGGAAAAGCACCAUAGUGGACGAAGUCUGCAGAUCCUGGGGGAGGCUUGGACUGAUUGAAACCUAUGUUUCCAUCUCAUGACCCACAGCCAUGGUGCUUGGUUCAGGACGGGGCACCUGAUCCUAUAUGUUCAAAUCAGAGGCCCCAGGCUUUCUUUAAAAACUGUUAUUUUAUUUUUAAUUAUGUCUGUGCAUGGGGUAUUACACAUGAGUGCUGGAGCCCUUGAAGGCCAGAGGCAUUGGAGCCAGAGUUACGGGCAGCUGUGAGCUACCUAACGUAGAUGCUGGGGAUCUUGUGUAUCUGCGAGUCCAGUCUUUCUCUUAACUACUAAUCCAUCUAUCCAGCCCGAAGGGUAAGCUGACUUUCUUCUUCCUCCCUCCCUUCUGUCCUUCCUGCCUACCUCCUCUCCCUCCCUCCCUCUUCCUUCCUUCCUUCUUUCUGCCUUUCUUCCUUUUCUUUCUUUCUUUCUUUCUUUCUUUCUUUCUUUCUUUCUUUCCUUCUUUCCUUCUUUCUUUCCUUCCUUCCUUCUUUCUUUCUUUCUUUCUUUCUUUCUUCCUUUCUUCGCUCUUCCUUCCUUUUGAUUUUGUUUUUUAUUUGAGACAGGGAUUUUCUAUGUAUCCCUGGCUGUCCUGGAACUCACUCUGUAGAACAGAUCACUUGCACCUGCCUUCUGAGAGCUGGGCUUGAAGGUCUGCACCACCACUUCCAUGGCUGCCCAAGUACUUUUUAUUUAGUGGCUUAGCGUAGAUGCUCUUACUUCUGUUAGGGGUGAAGAAUGUAUACACUCCGAGACUUCUAGUUCUGAUUCCCUGGGAUGAGCUAGCCUUAAAAUGAAGCAGAGGAGAAAGGAAAAGAGGUCUUUAGCAGCAGUCAUGUCGCUAUGUCCCUCCUCAGCUAAAACCUUAUCCAGAGAGAAAUCAGAUGUAUGAGUCACAUUUUUCUUCUCAUCAUGACCCUGCUUGGACUGCUUCUGUUACCUGUGGCCGUCUCAGAAGCUUCUCUGUAAAUGCUGUCCACAAUUCCCAGACCAAACGUUCUCGCUACCUGCCUUUAGAACACAGGAAACAGUCACCCUGGAAAAUCUGUAAACCGUUUGUAGCAAGAGUUUGUGGGGUUACAUCACAUUCUGUCCAAGGAAAAGUCACCUUCAGAGCAUGUGCUGUCCCAAAAUCCUAGAGUCUAGGACCCAGGAGAAUGGAUCCCAGAAACUGUCAGAGCAGCACACACGUCCAUGACUAGGGCCGUCUCUGCUCGAAAGCUUUCUCUGCAGUAAGGGCCAGAGUCCCUGAAGCUCAGGGAUGCUUGCCCCUGGACACUGAAGUGCUCUGUUAUCCUCCCUUGCUGACAGAGAUGGGAAAGAAACUGAUUCCGAAUACAGUCUGCAUGAAUGGCAACCUCCAACUUCAGCACCGGUUUCUGGGAGCCCUUUAUCAGUUUGUGCCCCUUACAAGACAGUUUGGCCUCAGAGCAGAUAGGGCUGCCUGUGGAAAUCAAGCUGCCUGAUCCACUGCUGGAUCUGUUAGGCUGGUGAACCCUCAGAGAGUCCGGGGUUAAUGUUAGCCGGCACACACAGGCACUCAGGAAAUCAUCUGCAUAGAGAGUUUGCUGUACAGGGGCAGCAUUGCUGUCCUGACCUCAUUCAUUACUCCAGUAGCUGAAAACAUCAACAGCUGUGGCCAGCCCAUCGGGAUUUGAGUCCUAGGCCCACUAGGUACAGGCCACACAUGAGUUACUUAGUUUCCCUGUGUCUCCAUUUCCCACUUUGUAAACUGAUAAAAUGGCAUCUCUCUCUUAGAGAGUAACUUAGACCUGCUUAGAAAGUAACUAAGUGGGGCUGGGGAUUUAGCUCAGUGGUAGAGCGCUUACCUAGGAAGCGCAAGGCCCUGGGUUCGGUCCCCAGCUCCGAAAAAAAAAAAAAAAAAAAAAGAAAGUAACUAAGUUAGGACAUAUAGUCUGAGAAAACGGUCCUUAGUUUGGACUACUAAAAUAUACUGUGCAUCUUAAACAGCAGACAGUUUUCUUCCCUUUCUUUCUUUGAAUGAGUUAUUUCAUUCCCUUUUUCUUCCUUUUUUUAUACUAAUUUACUCUCUCAUAUAUUACAUCCUGACUGCAGUUUCCCCUCCCUCCUCUCCUCCCAGUCACCCCUCUUCCCUGCUUCCCUAUCAGACAAACAUGAGUAUCAGGUUGCAAUAAAAACUAGGCACCUCUCCUCACACUGAGGCUGGUCAAGGCCACCCAGUAGGAAGACAGGGGUCUCAAAAGCAGUCAAAAACCUCAAAACAGUCCCUGUUUCCUCUAUUAGGAGUCCCAUAAAAAACACCAAGUUAUACAACUAUAACAUUAGAUUAGACCCAUGCAGGCUCCCUUACUGUCAGUUCAGUCUCUGUGCCCCACUGAGAGUCUGUGGAUUCUGUGAGUUUCCUCGUGGUAUCCUUGACCCCUCUGGCUCCUACCAUCCUUCCUCCCUUUCCUCGGCAGGAUUCACUGAGUUAGGCUAACGUUGGGCUGUGGGUCUCUGCGUCUGUUUCCAACAGUUGCUGGGCAGAGCCUCUCUGGUGAUGGUUAUGCCAGCUUCCUGUCUUCUAAUACAGCAGAAUAUCAUUCUGGGUCAUUUCUUUAGGUUUUGUUUGUUUGAUUGAUUUAGCAAGUUAUUUCUUAUAGCUCUGGAGACUAGGAAGUCUAAAAUCAAGCCAUCAGCGGGUAAAGGUCUGCUGAGGAUUGGCUUCCUAUCGGAGAUAGCAACCUUUUCUUGAAUGGUGAAAGACAGACAGCUCUUGGGGUCUGUAUAAGGACACUGACCCCCAUUCACGAGGAGUCUAUUCUCAUGACCUAAUCAUUCCCUAAGGGCUCAUGUCUAAAUGUAGUCACAUCGGUGAUUAGGUUUCAACUGUGAAUUUAGGGGAGAGAGACUGCAAACUUCCUGUCACCGGGUUGGGGGAGGGGAUAGGAGAGCUGUUAAAGGUUUAAUGACUAUUAGCUACCAGGCUGCAAAUAGUCUAUUGAGAAGCAAAGUUACAGAGAUGCCAAAGGCAAAACAAGCUAGGAGAGGGGAAGAAAAGUGUUGGGGACUUGAUUUAAUGGAUUCCCAAACUACAUGGGUAUUCCCAUUCCCAGGUUUGGUUGUAGGACGCUGCAAGUCCCUGUCCCCAAUUGGUUUUGAUUGGGAAAUAAAGAUGCCGACAGCCAAUGGUUGGGCAGGUAGACCGAGGCGGAACCUUUAGAUUUGUGCAGGCUAGGAACUGGGAAAGAGGAAGGAGGCGAAUCACCGUGAUGGGGAGAAGAAAGACCAGACCUAAAGGCCCACCAACCUGUGAGAAUCAGGUGAAGUGGCUACAGGCUACUUCCCAGAUUGGACCUGGGGUAGCAGAGAUGAAAUCUAGAAUUUAAACGCUCUUAACUCAGGAGUACCGGAGGGGAGUGCUUGCUAGCUGGGGAAGGUUUAGGAGUGAACAACCAUUAAGCUAGUCACGGCAUAUUAAAAUUGGCUACAGAAAAGUGCACACACAAAGCAGAGUCCAUCUGACAGGAAAAGGGACUGCAGGAUGCCUUUCAGCAAAGCUCAGUCUCCCCACAAGCCAGGGAGGAGCCUCUGGUCUGGACCCAGAGCCGGAAGCGGAAUUCCAGCUACCCCCCACUUCCUGUUGCUAACAUUUCUUUGUUACAGCAGCCGGUUGGCUUUGUUCAGUGUGGUACGGUCCUUCUUCUAGCAAUAACAAGUCUCCCCCGCUUCUAAAUACUACUUCAUGCUUUCUGAGGCCUGUCAUCGCUCUUGACCUGCCUCCACCACAGGAGAAUCAGGUGGAGCCUAUUUCCCCAUUUUAUAGAGGAGAAUGUGGCCCGAGUUUGUGGUUCAGCUUGAGUGAGACUCUUAGGACAUCCCUGACCAUACCCUUUCUAAUCUCUGCAUCUUUACCAGUCCUACUCACGACUGGUUCCUUUCCCAGAUUCCUGGCGUUUGGUUUGGUUUGGUGACCCAUUUAGUUUAACCCAGGCCACCUGUGUGAGCAGUGGAUUGGAGCGUGGUGGGGUCACCAGCGGGUACACACGCCCGAAGGCAAUGACUCCCCUUCUUCCUGAAUCUAUCCGUAACAUAGUUAAGCAGUGAGGGGACAGCCCUUUAAGCCCACUUUCAUUCAUGCCUGACUUUGAUGGACUGUGGUGCAGACCCAGUGCGGGCAUCCUCAGCUGCGAGAGUUCAUGGCUCCAAUGGACCUGUCUUGCCCGGGAGACGGGAGACGGCAUACGGCAUUUCGCAGUCCUCACCCUUGGAUUCUGAUCUUGCAUUCUCUUUAUCCCCUCUUCCUCAGUGUUCCCUAAGACCUGUAAUGGAGACGGAGCUUUACUGAGGGCUGAACACUCAUCUUCCCAUUUCCCCCAGCAUCUUGGGUAGCCAAGAGUCUGUAUUCAAUGCCAUUUGCAGAAAGAGAGAUUUCUACGAUUAGGGCUCGGAGUAGCAUUUUUCUACGGAACAAAAACAUAAAUAUCUAGCAGUCAGUUUGGUGCUGUGUUCAUUUAGCAAAACCACAGUAUCCUGUUCCCUUUUAGAACCCACAACCUCCUUCACCGGGAUUGGGCUAGCAUAGGGUACCAGACAUGCAUUUUCUCCCAUGGAGUGGGUUUAUCCAAUUAGAAAGCAGCUGGUUACCACCAUAACAGUCUUGCUACUAGUGUGCAAGCAGGCAUAUGUUAACUGCCCAUUGGACUUGUUGUUUGUGAGGUCCACAGCUGGACAAGACUGUUGAGGCUUUUCUCUCAAGCAGCCUGCACAGCAUCCUCCAGCACAGUGAAGCUUCUCAGUGGGGAGAAAGCUUCCUGCUCAGCUCCUGUCGGAGUUUUCUACAUCAGGCAUGUGGAAUAUAUCUGGGUAUGUGUGUGUGCAUAUAUAUGUAUAUGAUGUACAUGUUUGUAUGUAUAUAUGUAUAUAGGUAUAUGAUGUAUAUACAUAUUGUGUAUAUAAUGUAUAUGCGUGCAUACAUAUAUGUAUGUGUAUAUAGUAUAUGAUGUAUAUGUAUAUGAUGCCCAUAUAUGUAUAGUAUAUGUGUGUAUAUCAGCAAUAGAAACGUAUUAUCUGGAUCAAAUGGGCAAUCAGGAGGAAUGGUAAGAACCUGCAAUGUUUUUGGGAGUCUGAGGUCCUCCUGGCUUACAAGUCCUGUGGAGGUCUUGCUUCUUAACCCAGAACUUCUAGGCGCCGCUUUUUCCAUGAGGAGCAUCUCCCUCCAAAUUAUUUAUUAGCAGAAUUAUACACAUGCAUACAUUUGUGUGUAUCUUAUUUGUACUUGUGUGUUUGUUUGUGUGAGUGCAUGCCUCUUAUGUACAACUGCACUCAGAGACCAGGAGAGUCUACACAAUCCCUAGGAGCUUGACCUACAGGUUUUUAUGAGCCACCCAACAAUGGAUGCCCGAAUCUGAACUUGGCUCUUCUGAAAGACCAGGAAGUGCUUUGAACCAACAAGUCAUCUCUCCACCUCCAUGUUAUAUCUUUUAAUUUGGUUGCAGAGUUUCCCACGGAGCUUUUUUAAACCCUCUUUGAUUGAGUCAACCUUUGCCCACUUCCUCUUCUCCCUUACCCCCCAACUCACUCCCUUCUUAAACCUUCCCACCCCCAGCAGCCCCCUGCUUUACUUCCUCAGGUUACCUACAUCCCAUGGUCCGUCUUCCCUUAGGAUGGGCCCCCUCAACGGCCUUGUUCUAGUUCCCUGGCUUCUACAGGAACCCAGCAGAAAAUCUAAAGUUAGCAGUGAGCAGCUCAGAUCCACAUACAUAGGAGGGAGAGCAUGCAGCAUUUGAUUUUCCAUUCCUGGGUUCCCUUGUUUCAUAUUACUUUUUUCCCACCUCCAUCCAUACAACUUCAGAUCCCGUCUUGUCAUUUAUCUCCACAGAUGUACGACGUACCACAUUUAGGUUAUCCCCUCAUCAGUAGAUGGCUACCUUGGCUCAUUCCGUUUCCUGGCUGCUGUGAAUAGAUUGGCAAGGAAUGUGGAUGAGUAGGUCCCUGUCGUAGGCUAUAGAAGCCUUUGGGUUUAUGCCCAGGAGUGGACUAGCUGGGUCAUAUGGUAGUUCUAUUUUUGGCUAGUCAAGGUAUCGCCACACUGAUUUCCAUAGUGGCCGCCACAGUUUACCCUCCUACCAACCGUGAGAAAGACUUCCUCUUUCUCCGCAUCCUUGCCAAAAUUUCAUGUUCAUUUGAUUUCUUGAUGAUCGCCAUUCUGACUGAGGUAAAACGGAAUCUCAAAGUAGUUUCAUUUGCAUUUUCUUGGUGGCUAAGGAUGUUGAAAUUUUCAAAAGUGUUUAUUAACCAUUUCUAUUUUUUUCUUUUGAGAUUAUUUUUGGCUCAGUUCUAUAGUUCAUUUAUUUGGGGGAGGUUGUUUUUUUUUCCUCUUGGUAGAUUGGGUUUUUGAGUCAUUUGCAUACUCCUGAUAGCAGUUCUCUAGGUCACCGCCUUCAUUUGAUUGACAGUUUUCUUUGCUGUACAGAAGCCUUACAUUUCCAUGAGGUCCCAUUUGCUCAUUGUUGUCUCCGAAGCGACCAGAAUUCCAUAUACAAAGUCCUGACCUAUGCCUCCAUGUGUUGUGGCAUUCCCCACACCAUCUCUUCUACAGUUCCGGAAAACCAGGUUUUAUGUUCAAGUUUCGAAUCCACUUGGAGUUGAUUUUGGUGCAGGGUGACAGCCAAUGGGCUAGUUUCACGGUACUGCAUGUGGACAUUUCUAGUUUUCUCCAAACUACUUGUUGAAGAUGCUGCCUUUCCUCCAGCACGUGGCUCUGGUAUCUUUGUCUGGUGCUUGUGAUUACGUGCACUUCACUCCCCGUGGGUGAUGGUUGUGCCUAGGAUUUGCUUUGUUUCCUUUUUUUUAGGCUGUCAUCAAUGGGAUCGCCCCCUGAUUUUUUUCUGGGUAUGUUUGACACUGGUGUAUGGAAAAGCAGUUUUUUUUUUUUCUGUUUGUGUACCACCUCCACACUGUUUCCUCAACUAUGGCUUGAUAACAGUGGUUCUCAACCUGUGGGUUGUGAACCCUUUCACAGGGUAAAUAUUAUUUUGUAGUUUCUACACCAUUUUAGAUCAUUUACUUCCCAGAUAAAAGACAUAAAACCUUUAUAUUUAUAAUAAGCCUUAAAGCACUAGAGCUGGGCAGUUAUCAACCCUCUAUGCUUUUCUCUGACAGUAGUCCCUGUCUGCUUCCUUGUCAUUAACCUGGACAUAGCCCUUGCCACAUCCCACCCAGCUGCUGCUACUCCAAUGGACGAGUCUUCUUGGCCUUGUGCUUCUGAUCUACUCCACCUACCCCAUGGUUCCUUCUUCACUCUUUCUCCUCCCUACCCAUAGUCUCUCCCUCAGGCCCCUGACCCAAAGGCCUGCCUACCUCUGCUACUAAGGGCUAUAGACAUCUUUAUUCCAUCAAUAGUUCUAAAUUAAGGAACAAGGUUUGCGCAACAAAAGCUAGCAUUCUCGAGAUUUACUCUCUGAGACAACCGAAUCUUGGGAUACAAAAUUUACCGUUAACAAUACAUAGCAACAGACAAAACCCCAACAAGGGUCACCUAAGACCAUGUACAAAUCAGAUAUUUGCAUUAUGAUUCAUAACAGUAGCAAAAUUUCAGUUAUAAGGUAGCAAUGAAAAUAAUUUUAUGGUGGGGGUGGGCGGUCACCACAACAUGGGGAAAGUGUAUUAUAGAGUCGUGGCAUCAGGAAGGUUGUGAACUGCCGCUCUAUGGCAUAACUUGAGAGUGGCUCUGUCUGGUAAAGCCUCCAGCCUCGUCUUGGUUAUCUAGGGUCUUUUCUGCAUUCCCAUAUGAAUUUCAAGAUUUUUUUUUCUUUUUCUGUGAAGCACGGCCUAGGGAGGGUUUUAGCUGGGGUGACAUUGAGUUUGUUCAUUGUGCUCCUCAGGACGGUCAUCUUUCACAGCAUUUAUACCACUCGUGCGCAAGGACGGCCAUUUUGUCUUGGAGCGUCCUCCCUCAGCUUCACUGGGAACUUUAAACUUUCCAUCGUUCACAUCCCUCUCUCACCUCCUUGGUGAGCUUUGUGUUGCUGGUUUUGUUUUGCUUUCUUUUGGGGUUAUUGUGAGUGGGACUGGCCCCCAGAUUUCUUUCUCAGUGUGCUCGAUGUCGCUCUAUAGAAAAGCUAAUUUUUGUUGUUCUUGUGACUAAUUUUGAACCCUGCCGCUUUGUUGGAAGUAUUGAUUAGUUCUAAGGAGUUUUCUGGUGGAGUUUUAGUCUCUCUCUCUCUCUCUUUUUUUUUUUUUUUUUUUUUGGGUUCUUUUUUUCGGAGCUGGGGACCGAACCCAGGGCCUUGCGCUUCCUAGGUAAGCGCUCUACCACUGAGCUAAAUCCCCAGCCCCGAGUUUUAGUCUCUUACACGUUGCGUUCCAUCACCUGCAAACUUUCAUUCUUUUCCUACUUCUACCCCUUUUUUCAUCCCUUGUCUUAUUGGUGGAGCUAAGACUUUGGACACCAUUGUUCCCCAUCUGCCCUAAGCUUAGUGGCUAGUCCCACCCAGCCCUGCUAAACAUCCUUGUCCAUUCGCCUGUAGUGGAGGCCAUACAUGAUUGCUGCUUUCUUCUUCCUCCAGAGCAUGGCAGAAAAAGCCUCUCUUUCCUUCCCUGCCUCUCCUGGGACCUGAAAGUUCCACCUGUACCUUCUGCCCAGCAAUUGUUAUCUCCCUCUGCCUGCCUUCUUUCCUGACAAAUCGAGAACCAACUGGAGAACAGGCCAUUAGUAUCAGAACCUCCCCUUACACGCCAUACCUGAUAUGAGGGGAGACAGUGGACAGUCAUCCCUGACUUGCUUUUUAUAUGGGAUUUCUUUGAUGUUAUGUGUUAAUGUUAGGUGUUUGUUCUGAAACUGUCACAUAUAUAAUUUACUUAUUGAAUUAUUAUUAUCAUUAUCAUAACAUUGCUAACAUUGGAUCUGAGAGUUUGAGGUAUGUUGUCCUUUCAUCCUUGUGUCGCUCCAACAGUUUUCCUCUGUAUUUCUUCAGUGACCCUUUCAUUCUUUAAUAGUGUGUUGUCGCGUCUCCUCAAAUUUGUUCUCUUUUGGCAUUUCUUUCGCCAUUGAUUUCAAGUUUUAAUCCAUUGUUGCUAGAGAGAAUACAUGGAAUUAUUUCAGUUUUCCUACAUUCGUUGAGAUUUGCCUUGAGCCCCAAUAUGUGGUCUCUUGUAGAGAAACUUCCGUGGGCUGCUGAGAAGAAUGUAUCCUCCACACUGUUUGGGUAGAGUAGUCUAUAAAUAUCUGUUAGGUAUGUUUGCUCUGUAGUGACUUCGCUCCAAUAUUUCUGAUUAAUUCUUGUUUGGGUGACCUGACCUCAUCUAUACUGCUGUAAAGGAGUUGAUCUGUAGCUCAGUGCCUACUCCUGCUUACUUUAUGAAACCGGGUGCACCCGAGUCUGGUAUAUAUUUUGAAUUAUAAUGUCCUCUUGAGGAUCGCCACUUCGUCAAAAGGAAGUGACCUCAUGUUUCUUAUUGUUUUCGCAGCGAAGUCCUUCUUGUUAGAUAGAAUUGUGCACUUGCCUGGUUCCAGGUCCCAUUUGUUUGGAUCCGUUUUUGCAUCUUUUCCCUCAAGGGCAGUGUCUGUCCUUGAAGGCGGGAAGUGUUAGACAAAGAAAGAUGGCUCCUGUUUGCUAAUCCAAUCAGAUAGUAGAAGGCAAUUUUUUCCCUCCUGGUCCCAGGAAUAAUGACUCUGAGACUCAAAUAUAGUUACAAAUACUUAGCCUAUAAGCCUUGGCUAUCCCCUGACUCAAUCCUAACGUAAUAUCCCAUUAAUUCUAAUCUAAGCUCUGCCACAUGGCUGGUUCCUCUGCUCAUCUCCCAUGCUCUGACCUCCUCCAUGUUCCCGGGCCAAUCCUCCCACAUUGGCUCUCUCCCAGAAUUCACUCUGCCCACUGGAUGUCCCACCUUCUAUUCUACCCUUUCCUAUAGGCCAUAGGUUUUUUUUUUAUUGACAAGUGACAUAUCCAUACAAUAUGCAAGUCUCUCUGCAGAUCGUCUGUGGUUUGUUGUCUAUUUACUGGGUUGUUUUUUUUUUUAAGAGGAAUGCAUUAUUAUUUAAAAUUAUCAUUGAAAGAUAUCUAUUAAUUCCUGAUAUUUUAUGACUUUGUGGUGCUUGUUUUCUUUGUCCUACUGUGCAUAGGACAUUUAUUUCCCAUUAGCCCCUUGGUCGUGCUUGCCCUUCUCCAAGCAAAGUAUUCCUUCUAGUAUCUUCUGUGGGUCUGGUUUGGUUUGAUUUAGCCUGGUUUUAUCAUGGAAAGUUUUUAUUUAUCCUUCAACUAGACGGGUAGUUUUUUUUCAAGCAAAGUAGUCUAGGUUAGUAAUCGUGUUCUCUCAGGACUUGAAGCACCUUGCUCUAAGCUCUUUUGGCUUUUAAACACAAAGAAAGCAGCUCUUAAUUUGAUGAACCAGUCUUUAUCUGUGCCUUCUUCUUUGCUAUAUUGUAUGUUUAAAUUUUUAAAAUUUGUUUGUUUUAUUUGUAUGAGUAAGUACACUGUCACUGUCUUCAGACACACCAGAAGAGGAUGCCUAUGACAGAUGAUUGUGAGCCACCAUGUGGUUGCUGGGAAUUGAACUCAGGACCUCUGGAAGAGCAGUCAGUGCUCUUAACUGGUGAGCCAUUUCUCCAGCCCCAUAUGCUUAAUGUUUUAACUGUGAUAUGUUGUGUGGAGUUUCUUCACCUACUUUGUCUGUUUGGCAUUCUGUGUGCUUCUGCGUCUGAAUUAGCAUCUUUUCCUCUAGAUUUGGGAAGUUUCUUCUAUGCUUUCAUUGAAGAUAGAUUCUAUGCCUUUGAUCUGCAAUUCAACUCCGUGUUUUAGUAUGCACCUAUGUAGAUUAUGCACAUAUGUAGAUUUUUGUCUUUUCACAAAGAAAAGAGACAAAUAUAGGAGAGUUCUCGCAUAUACCAUUCAUUAGUUUUAAAUUUAUUACUUUCUUUGAUUAAAUGAUUCAAUUUUCCCUUGUAUUCAACCCCACAUAUCCUGUCUUCUACACUCCCUAUUCUGCUGGUCAGGCCUUCCAUUGAAUUUGGUUGGUUUGUUUUCUAGUUUGAAUUCUCGAAGUUCUCAUCACUAGCUCUGUUUUUCUUUGGGGCUUCUUCAGUGUUUCUAUUUCCUUAUUGAAUUCAAUCUACCAAAUUGUCCCCAUUAUUUCAUCUACCCAGUUGUGUGUUCUUGAACCUCUUUCAAGAGUUUACUCCUGUCUUCUCUAAGUCAGUCCAAGUGUUGAUUUAUGUGCUGUCCGAAUAAACUCUUAGAACAUGUUUAUAAUCGUUCUUUUGAAUUCUGUCUAAGUUAUUCUCACGGAACACAAACACUAUGGGGCUGAUAUUCUUUGGGGGAGGGGCGUAUUGUCUUGGGUUUUGUUGUUUGUUUGGUUUUAGGGUUUUGUUUUUAUUUCAUUUUAAUUUUGCUUGCAAGUUUGUGAUGGAACCUGGGCGUCUAGAGUUAGGAUAUUUACCAUAUAUUUUGAUACAAAGUUUUAGUCCACCUGGCCAGUGUUCCACACUGAGGGAGUAGGUUGGGCAGUUUUGGAAGAGUCACAAGGGGAUGGAAUUGAGGGGAGUAGGUCUCUUACCAGGAUUGCAUGGGUAUCUAGAGGGGGUCCAGAGGGAGGCUAGCAGGCUGGGCAUCUUUUCCAGGGGCCAGCCACAUGGGCUGGGUUCCAGGUUGGAGUGGGUGAAGCUAAAGUUAAAGCCAUGUUGGUUUCUUACUAGGAGAAUUUAGGGGUCUGCACAUAUUUUUGUAGAGUCCCAAGGAGGACAGGUAAGGUGUUGAGGAGCCUAAAGAGGCAAAAGGAGUGGGUUCCAUCUGACUGAUGACAGCAGGUAAGCAUGGAGUGCUGGUCUCCUUGACCUUUCUUUCUUUCUCUCUUUCUUUCUUUCUUUCUUUCUUUCUCUCUUUCUUUCUUUCUUUUUCUUUUUGAGAUAGGGUUUCAUGGGCUUUUUUUUUUCCUGGACACAUGUAAAGAAGCAUCAGUUUAUCCCAGACAGAGGGCACUCACAUACCAAAGAAAGGACUGCAUUCAAAUUCUGCUUGGUAAACUAGUCUGUUUAUUGGAGUUUUAAGUGAAACUUAAGGGCUCUUUGGAAAGUUGGUUGGAUGGUGUUUUGCCGGGGCAGACACAUGAAGGAAUGUUUAGCUGAAGCAGACACAGGUGAAAGGAUGUUCUGCUAAAGCAGUGAAAAGGAGCGGAGUUCCUUUUGUUGGGACUCCAUAGACAGAAAGGCAGUAAAAAUCUUCGGGUGGUGUGCUGCAGUUUUCUAGCUGCUUCCCGGGACUCAGGCUGAUUGAUAGAGUGAUGUCAGCUGAGACAGACUCACACGUGCUGAGGCAAGACCCGGGAAGGACAUGUGAUGUUUGGAGGGAGUAUAAAAAAGCACUGGACAGACAGUGAUGGGGGCUGAGCUUGGCUUGCUUAUAGAGCUUGCUGUGCAGUGCUUGUUGGUCUCGCAUCUUUGCUGAUCUUUGUUUUGCUGAGAGAAGCACAACCUAGAACCCCUGGUGUCCCUCCAGAUCUUUCCUGAUGACUUGUGCCAAGACUGAAGCCUGUCUGCCUCUGCUAGGUACUGCUACCACUGCUGAUUCGUGUUUGCUAUCCUGACUCUCCCAAACUGGAUGGCGAGUGUUCGAGAGUGGACCGAGCAGCCACUUCUAAUCUGUGAGCUGAACUGCCGAUUUCCAGACCACACAGAUGGGAGUUGCUCCAAAGAACCUUUCUAAACAGAUCCACCCCUCCUCCCCCAUCCUUUCUUUUCUACUACCUCUGGUGGGUGAUGGGUUAAAAGGGAGGUUAAAGCAUUUUAGACCAUCAUUAGAAGUAGACUUUGAAAAAAAAAUCAAAGUUACAGGGGUUGCUUACAAGAGCUUGGGGUGAAUCUCACAUCUGCAUCACUGACAAUAGCCCAGCCCAGUGUGAGUGAUGACUUACAGAAGUUAUAGCAACAGAUUCUUAUCUCAGUGUGGACGACCAAGAAGCUGAUCCACUGAGGUCUCCUCAAUGGAUUGUGGGAAACUUGGCUAUUGAAGUCAUCCUCACCUGCUUCCAGCCCCAUGCACAGCAUCCUGCAUCUCAUGAUGGACGGACGGAGGCAGCCUGAUGAGUCUCUUGCAGUUGUUUCAUGGGAGGUGUGGCAGCUGAGGCUCCAUCAGUGCUGCUGGCCAGCCUGGACUCCCUGCUCCUGGAUCCUCUGAGCUGAACAGGUCACACUGAGAGCUGUCACCGUCUGUAACCGAUGCUUCCAUUUCCACUUCCACCCUUUUCCUUCCAGGUCAAGGUCAUAUGGGACCACCUUAGCAUUUCCCCUCAUUGUACCACUUUCCUCAUCUGGAAAGUUCCCAGCCCAGACUCCUCGACUUGGCAUAGGACAAUGUGGACUGUUGUCUUAAACUCCUGUCCAGUCAGCUUCCCACUUUGAUGCCGUCUCUACAACUUAUGAACUGUGGAACGUUGUAGUGUCUAUCACUUAACCUGUUUCCCCCUCAGGACCCUCGUCUGUCUCAUAAUAACCACAGUGACUUCACUCAGUUCUUGCUGGGAUGCGGUCAUCAGAGACCAAUGCUCAGAACAUAAAAAAAAAAUUGUUUUUUUCUUAC